UGGUGCCAGCAGCCGCGGUAAUUCCAGCUCCAAUAGCGUAUAUUAAAGUUGUUGCAGUUAAAAAGCUCGUAGUUGAAUUUCGGGGCUAGUAGAUUGGUCAUGCCUCUGGUAUGUACUGGUCUCACUGAUUCCUCCUUCCUUAUGAACCGUAAUGCCAUUAAUUUGGUGUUGCGGGGAAUUUGGACUGUUACUUUGAAAAAAUUAGAGUGUUUAAAGCAAGCUAACGCUUGAAUACAUUAGCAUGGAAUAAUGAAAUAGGACGUUCGAUCUUAUUUUGUUGGUUUCUAGGAUUGACGUAAUGAUUAAUAGGGAUAGUGGGGGGCAUUAGUAUUCAAUUGUCAGAGGUGAAAUUCUUGGAUUUAUUGAAGACUAACUACUGCGAAAGCAUCUGCCAAGGAUGUUUUCAUUAAUCAAGAACGAAAGUUAGGGGAUCGAAGACGAUCAGAUACCGUCGUAGUCUUAACCAUAAACUAUGCCGACUAGGGA
rnacentral:rRNA from 1 species